UACAGAGGGUGCUAGCGUUGUUCGGAAUUACUGGGCGUAAAGGGCUCGUAGGCGGCCAACUAAGUCCGACGUGAAAUCCCCGGGCUUAACCUGGGAACUGCGUCUGAUACUGGAUGGCUUGAGUUCGGGAGAGGGAUGCGGAAUUCCAGGUGUAGCGGUGAAAUGCGUAGAUAUCUGGAGGAACACCGGUGGCGAAGGCGGCAUCCUGGACCGAUACUGACGCUGAGGAGCGAAAGCCAGGGGAGCAAACGGGG
rnacentral:rRNA from 1 species